UUCAUAUAUUUGCCGCUGGGUGCCUUUGUGUGAACAAAGGGUAACAGGGAAUCGGGUGCAAAUCCCGAGUGGUCGCGCCACUGUAACCAAGGAGUUUUCUUUCAGGAUGUCACUUGACCGUCAGUCAGGGAAGACGAAAGGAAAUGUUGAUCUGGAAGCCAGGAGACCUACCUAGUAGGCAUCACCGAUU
rnacentral:ncRNA from 1 species